rnacentral:lncRNA from 1 species
AUUUUCACUUAAUAGACAAUUCUUAACCAGCCUUUUGGCUCCAGUUUCUUAAGGAUGGCCCUCUAUCUGAUCGCAGCUAUAAAACUAAGGACUCUUUUAUACGAAGAAAGCAGAGAAUUUGAUAUUAAAUUGUGAGAUUGAAAAGCACCACUUUUAGCAGCCAGUUUAUAAGGCAGCUAGGAACAUCCUAAAAUGCCUGCUGGUCACAGUUCCCUUCUGAGCAAAGCAGCUAUAUGGUCUCUACGCAUAAGUCUGCUUUCUUCAAACACAGGAUCCACUCCAUUGUGACUAGGUUGAUAAAGCACGGUGAUUGUGUGUAUGAAACUACUCUGCUCACUUUUCUCAAUAAGGAGCAGUCCCAGGAAGGUGCUUUAAAUCUUCGUGGAUCAUUGAGCUGGGCCGGAACACAAAGGGCUGGUCAAGGUUCAAAGAUUAGGCAGAAUUUCUCUCCAACAAGAUUCAAGCUUGCUUUCACUUUGCAUCACCGGAACAAACAAGCAGAGCAAAGGCUCCCCUACCCGGGAGGACUGAUGGGAGACAGCUGUGGUUCCUCUUGCUCUUACUUUCUCAAAAAGGUGCACCAGGGUUCGGAGCCUCAAUCGAGCAGAAACAAGAAGGAUAAAAAGGUAUUCCAAGGACAGACCGGCUACUGCACCCAGGGAAGAACCUGCUGUGUGAAUGGGAGGAUCUGACUGCUCUGACGAAGCCUUUAUGCGCUCCGUUAAGGUCACUGCCACAGCAUGGCUGAUGAGUGCUGUAGGUCCACGCCUGGGAUCCGAAUCCACGAAUCCAGGCCACUGAAGCGGGGCUUGCCAAACUUAACCACCAGGCACAGGGCCAGCCCCUCUUUUUCUUUCUUUGAAUAGGCUGCUAUCACAUAUCUUUUAAUGCCAUUUGGAGCAGAGUGUUGGUUAUGAAAUAUAAAUGCUGUGCAACUCAAAUCUCAAAGAUAUUUGAAGGAAUAGAAAUAAAUUAUUGAUAUAAAUAAAUUAUAAAAAAUAAAAUACAAAGAGUAUGUUAUAGUUACGUUUCUCACUGUACUAUUUCAGGUAAUGAGAAGAUGAUUACAUGAUGUUGGAAUGACUGUAAAUUACUAAUUAAUUUAGUCAAUAGCUUAUUUUACUAAUUCAACGU